rnacentral:rRNA from 1 species
GAUGAACGCUGGCGGCGUGCCUAAUACAUGCAAGUCGAGCGAAUGGAUUAAGAGCUUGCUCUUAUGAAGUUAGCGGCGGACGGGUGAGUAACACGUGGGUAACCUGCCCAUAAGACUGGGAUAACUCCGGGAAACCGGGGCUAAUACCGGAUAACAUUUUGAACCGCAUGGUUCGAAAUUGAAAGGCGGCUUCGGCUGUCACUUAUGGAUGGACCCGCGCCGCAUUAGCUAGUUGGUGAGGUAACGGCUCACCAAGGCAACGAUGCGUAGCCGACCUGAGAGGGUGAUCGGACACACUGGGACUGAGACACGGCCCAGACUCCUACGGGAGGCAGCAGUAGGGAAUCUUCCGCAAUGGACGAAAGUCUGACGGAGCAAAGCCGCGUGAGUGAUGAAGGCUUUCGGGUCGUAAAACUCUGUUGUUAGGGAAGAACAAGUGCUAGUUGAAUAAGCUGACACCUUGACGGUACCUAACCAGAAAGCCACGGCUAACUACGUGCCAGCCGCCGCAGUAA